GACAAACAAUAACGCAAGAAUCAACAGACGUGCCUCAACUUGAAACGUAAAGCUAAAUAGCCAGCCGUUCGGACUAAAAUGUAGUUGAUCACACUAGACCGACAAUGGACCAAGAGUAGGAACUUUGUGUUAAAUCGAACUGUUCCAGGAAUUUCUGAGGGAAUCGAAAAUGGCAGUAAGAAUCUGAACGGGCUAGCGGAGCGCGGUCGUAAGCGUAAAUGGACAACAUGGAGCCUUCGAAACCGUAGCGCGCGAAACUGAAAUAAGUUAACCAACGCAGAGGGGAAGGUAUUGAAUCAAAGGUAACGAAAAAUCCAGGCACUAGAAAUAUGGGAACGGUACUAGUGACAGCUAGAAAAGAGGCCGUUUGGAUAUCGAAUGCAGCGCCGAAAAACAGACCGAGUCCUUGUCCCACUAGCGACAACCAGAUCAUAAUAACUAGCAGUUAUUGAUUGCAGAGUCAGAGACCAAUGUUUGGAAUCUGAUAUUCUAGCCCUCGAAACCCCGGCUGCCCUUCUGCUUCAACAAGGGUAUAAAGCAAUUAAAAUUUCAGGAGGUAAACAUUGAAAUUGAAACCAAAAACAAAUCAGACAUUUUUAGUUGGCUUUUUUGCUUAAUGUUAUUGUUACACUUAACUUUUGAAAACAUGGAAUGCAUAUGUUCAGGGUCAAGUUAAUGAAAUGGUUGAGUAAAAAAUGAAUUUUA